rnacentral:rRNA from 1 species
CAAUAGCGUAUAUUAAAGUUGUUGCAGUUAAAAAGCUCGUAGUUGGAUUUCUGGUGGGGCUGUCGGCCUGGCUCCGAAAGGGGUCGUGGUUUCGUUACACGCCUGGCCAUCCUCGGGGGAAGCUUUGCUGGCAUUAAGUUGUCGGCGGAGUGACGCUCGUCGUUUACUGUGAACAAAUUAGAGUGUUCAAAGCAGGCUUAGGCCGUUGAAUACAUUAGCAUGGAAUAAUGAGAUAGGACUUUGGUGGUCUAUUUUGUUGGUUUGCACGCCGAAGUAAUGAUUAAUAGGGGCGGUUGGGGGUAUUCGUAUUCAAUUGUCAGAGGUGAAAUUCUUGGAUUUAUGGAAGACGAACUACUGCGAAAGCAUUUACCAAGGAUGUUUUCAUUAA